rnacentral:tRNA from 1 species
AGAGAAUUAUCUAUCCAUUUUUUUGGUUAGAUAUGGAAAGACGACAAACAACAAACUGGCUUAAGACAAAUUUUUUCUUUUUCGCUUAGCUGUCAUUUUUUUUAAUAAAUACUGUAUGAGAAAUCCAACAAGUAGAGCCUCGUAGCUCAGCUGGUUAGAGCGCUACACUGAUAAUGUAGAGGUCGGCAGUUCGAGUCUGCCCGAGACUACAACAAAUUAAUUAUUACUUAUGGAUUUAAUUACAUUAAAUAGAGGAUUUAGGGUUGACAAUGCCCCUGAAUUAGGGAAAGUUGUUCCUUUUUUCAUCAAAUGGGGAAUUAGCUCAGCUGGCUAGAGCACUUGAUUUGCAUUCAAGAGGUCAUCGGUUCGACUCCGAUAUUCUCCACAAAUACGUUCAUUGACAUAUUGAAAAUACAAGAGUUAACUAUUAUUGAAAAAUAAUAGAGAACGAGCAAAAUAUAAUAGAGAAUUUUUUAGAAGCAAUUUUAAAGAAAGAGUAAUUAAGUUAC